GACGGGGCCCGCACAAGCGGUGGAGUAUGUGGUUAAUUCGAUGCAACGCGAAGAACCUUACCUGGUCUUGACAUCCCGGAGACCCUUAGGAAACUAGGGGGUGCUUCCAUCUGGAAGAAUCUGGAGACAGGUGCUGCAUGGCUGUCGUCAGCUCGUGUCGUGAGAUGUUGGGUUAAGUCCCGCAACGGGCGCAACCCUUGCCUUUAGUUGCCAGCAGUUCGGCUGGGCACUCUAAAGGGACUGCCGGUGUUAAACCGGAGGAAGGUGGGGAUGACGUCAAGUCCUCAUGGCCUUUAUGACCAGGGCUACACACGUACUACAAUGGCCGAUACAAAGGGCAGCGACACUGCGAGGUGAAGCCAAUCCCGUAAAAUCGGUCUCAGUCCGGAUUGGAGUCUGCAACUCGACUCCAUGAAGUUGGAAUCGCUAGUAAUCGUGGAUCAGCAUGCCACGGUGAAUACGUUCCCGGGCCUU
rnacentral:rRNA from 1 species